CCUCAGCCUGCCACACCUGCCAGCAAUCAGCCUCAUCUCUGCCAGUACUUCAACCCCGGUUCUCCACUCAAUUUCUGCUUGAUUGUCGUUGCUCCUAACCUGGUCACCUCCGUUGAGUCAGCUGGGCUCGCCACCCUGCCCUCUCCCCUCGGACCUCCUCCACGGCAUCCCCCCGGCUCUUCCUCAUGCCUAGCCAGUCAGCCUGCCACCACACUCCUACCAACUCCCCCGCCGUUCAGUUCUCCCGUGCCCGUGUUUCCCCGACCUCCGCCUCUCCCUCACCUCCACUCCCUUAAACCCUUUUCUCCUCAAUAAAACCUGUUUCACCGGA